rnacentral:rRNA from 1 species
CAUGGGGGCGGUAUUAUAAAAUGUUAGUUGUGCGUUCCUUGGCUACAGGCGCGCAGCGUACGGCUCAGUAACACGUAGUCAACCUACCCUGGAGAUGUGGACAAGCCCGGGAAACUGGGAUUAAUCCGUGAUAGAUGACCUCAUCUGGAAGGAGAGGCCGUCGAAAGGGCUUUGCGGGUAUGCUUCGCAAAGUCGCUCCAGGAUGGGACUGCGGCCGAUCAGGCUGUUGGCGGGGUAAUGGCCCACCAAACCUGUAACCGGUACGGGCUUUGAGAGAAGGAGCCCGGAGAUGGACACUGAGACAAGGGUCCAGGCCCUACGGGGCGCAUCAGGCGCGAAAACUUCGCAAUGCGCGAAAGCGUGACGAGGCUAGUCCGAGUGCUCUCCGCUGAGGAGGGCUUUUCUCGGCUGUAAAUAGGCCGGGGAAUAAGGGGAGGGCAAGUCUGGUGU